AACGAACGCUGGCGGCGUACUUAACACAUGCAAGUCGGACGAGAAAGGAGACUUCGGUCUCUGAGUACAGUGGCGUACGGGUGCGUAACACGUAAGUAAUCUACCCCAAACUCUGGGAUA
rnacentral:rRNA from 1 species